GACCGAUAGUGAACCAGUACCGUGAGGGAAAGGCGAAAAGAACCCCGGCGAGGGGAGUGAAAAAGAACCUGAAACCGUGUACGUACAAGCAGUGGGAGCACAGGUUUACCUGUGUGACUGCGUACCUUUUGUAUAAUGGGUCAGCGACUUAUAUUCUGUAGCAAGGUUAACCGUAUAGGGGAGCCGUAGGGAAACCGAGUCUUAACCGGGCGUUAAGUUGCAGGGUAUAGACCCGAAACCCGGUGAUCUAGCCAUGGGCAGGUUGAAGGUUGGGUAACACUAACUGGAGGACCGAACCGACUAAUGUUGAAAAAUUAGCGGAUGACCUGUGGCUGGGGGUGAAAGGCCAAUCAAACCGGGAGAUAGCUGGUUCUCCCCGAAAGCUAUUUAGGUAGCGCCUCGUGAAUUCAUCUCCGGGGGUAGAGCACUGUUUCGGCUAGGGGGCCAUCCCGGCUUACCAACCCGAUGCAAACUGCGAAUACCGGAGAAUGUUAUCACGGGAGACACACGGCGGGUGCUAACGUCCGUCGUGAAGAGGGAAACAACCCAGACCGCCAGCUAAGGUCCCAAAGUCAUGGUUAAGUGGGAAACGAUGUGGGAAGGCCCAGACAGCCAGGAUGUUGGCUUAGAAGCAGCCAUCAUUUAAAGAAAGCGUAAUAGCUCACUGGUCGAGUCGGCCUGCGCGGAAGAUGUAACGGGGCUAAACCAUGCACCGAAGCUGCGGCAGCGACACUGGUGUUGUUGGGUAGGGGAGCGUUCUGUAAGCCUGUGAAGGUGGCCUGUGAGGGUUGCUGGAGGUAUCAGAAGUGCGAAUGCUGACAUAAGUAACGAUAAAGCGGGUGAAAAGCCCGCUCGCCGGAAGACCAAGGGUUCCUGUCCAACGUUAAUCGGGGCAGGGUGAGUCGACCCCUAAGGCGAGGCCGAAAGGCGUAGUCGAUGGGAAACGGGUUAAUAUUCCCGUACUUGGUGUUACUGCGAAGGGGGGACGGAGAAGGCUAUGUUGGCCGGGCGACGGUUGUCCCGGUUUAAGCGUGUAGGCUGGUUUUCCAGGCAAAUCCGGAAAAUCAAGGCUGAGGCGUGACGACGAGGCACUACGGUGCUGAAGCAACAAAUGCCCUGCUUCCAGGAAAAGCCUCUAAGCAUCAGGUAACAUCAAAUCGUACCCCAAACCGACACAGGUG
rnacentral:rRNA from 1 species